GUGAAAUACCACUACUCCUAUUGUUUUUUUACUUAUUCAGUGAAGCGGGGCUGGACUUGCGUCCAACUUCUGGUGUUAAGAUCCUUCGCGGGCCGACCCGGGGUGCAGACCUUGUCAGGUGGGGAGUUUGGCUGGGGCGGCACAUCGGUUAAACCAUAACGCAGGUGUGCUAAGGGUGGCUCAUGGAGAACAGAAAUCUCCAGUAGAACAAAAUGCUAAGAGGCGCCUUGAUUUUGAUUUUCAGUGUGAUUACAAACCAGGAAAGUGCAGCCUAUCUAUCCUUUAGUCCCUCGGGGUUUGUGGCUAGCGGUGCUUGAAUU
rnacentral:rRNA from 1 species